rnacentral:rRNA from 1 species
GACGAACGCUGGCGGCGCGCCUAACACAUGCAAGUCGAACGGAGAUCAUUUGGUAGAAGUUUUCGGAUGGACACCGAGUGAUCUUAGUGGCGAACGGGUGAGUAACGCGUGAGCAAUCUGCCUCAGAGUGGGGGACAACAGUUGGAAACGACUGCUAAUACCGCAUAAGCCCACAGCACCGCAUGGUGCAGGGGGAAAAGAUUUAUUGCUUUGAGAUGAGCUCGCGUCCAAUUAGCUGGUUGGUGAGGUAACGGCCCACCAAGGCGACGAUUGGUAGCCGGACUGAGAGGUUGAACGGCCACAUUGGGACUGAGAUACGGCCCAGACUCCUACGGGAGGCAGCAGUGGGGAAUAUUGGGCAAUGGACGCAAGUCUGACCCAGCAACGCCGCGUGAAGGAAGAAGGCUUUCGGGUUGUAAACUUCUUUAAGGGGGAAGAGCAGAAGACGGUACCCCUUGAAUAAGCCACGGCUAACUAACGUG